ACCUGUGGGCGUUUCUGUUCUUCACGGAACGGGAGCACAGUUCUAAAACCCUACAAAAGAUAAAGAAGAAGAAGAACGGGAACAGGACUCCGUGACUACAACAGGAAAGAAGACUCCCUGAAGUGACACCGAUAACCUGAACCCCUAAAGAAAGAGGAAAGGAGAAAGGGCACCAAAAUGUCCACCGCCGUAGAAUUGCGUCUGAAUUGGCACUGCGGGAAACAUAGCAAAUUGUGGGAGUCAGGGCUCAGCUAAGCUUAAGCAACUUCCGAAUGUGGCCUAAAAUGGUUCCCAAAUUGAAGAGAAAACCUGCAAUUUGAAACGUCAUGUGAGAAUACACCUUGGCUCAAGUGUUCCUGUUAUCUAGACCACAGACUGGAAAGUUGUGAGCUUUUUAAUCAACGGAAAUCCUGACUCUUGAUGAUGUCCAUGGUCAUGGGCCACGGCGAUUAUCCACACUAAUAUUCACCUGUAUAACAACACCAGUUUGAAAUGAGGUUUGUAUAUUUGUUUUUCUUACAUGAAGAAAAGAAGUGCUCUAGUUAUCCUUGUUCUCUUUCAGUCAAGAUGGAGAUACUAAGGGGUGAUUGAGGGCAGGUUGCCAGGACAGGUUAUAAAUGAGAGGUUGAUGGUAAUUUUAGAUUUAGUAAUGUUAUUAGCUGCUUGUUUUAUUCAUCCAGUUAUUAUCAAGCUCUUGGAGACAUCUUUGUUUUGAUAAGAAAAGGGAGUAUAAUGAUGAUGGUUAUGAAU